rnacentral:rRNA from 1 species
UGCAAGUCGAGCGAACGGACGAGAAGCUUGCUUCUCUGAUGUUAGCGGCGGACGGGUGAGUAACACGUGGAUAACCUACCUAUAAGACUGGGAUAACUUCGGGAAACCGGAGCUAAUACCGGAUAAUAUUUUGAACCGCAUGGUUCAAAAGUGAAAGACGGUCUUGCUGUCACUUAUAGAUGGAUCCGCGCUGCAUUAGCUAGUUGGUAAGGUAACGGCUUACCAAGGCAACGAUGCAUAGCCGACCUGAGAGGGUGAUCGGCCACACUGGAACUGAGACACGGUCCAGACUCCUACGGGAGGCAGCAGUAGGGAAUCUUCCGCAAUGGGCGAAAGCCUGACGGAGCAACGCCGCGUGAGUGAUGAAGGUCUUCGGAUCGUAAAACUCUGUUAUUAGGGAAGAACAUAUGUGUAAGUAACUGUGCACAUCUUGACGGUACCUAAUCAGAAAGCCACGGCUAACUACGUGCCAGCAGCCGCGGUAAUACGUAGGUGGCAAGCGUUAUCCGGAAUUAUUGGGCGUAAAGCGCGCGUAGGCGGUUUUUUAAGUCUGAUGUGAAAGCCCACGGCUCAACCGUGGAGGGUCAUUGGAAACUGGAAAACUUGAGUGCAGAAGAGGAAAGUGGAAUUCCAUGUGUAGCGGUGAAAUGCGCAGAGAUAUGGAGGAACACCAGUGGCGAAGGCGACUUUCUGGUCUGUAACUGACGCUGAUGUGCGAAAGCGUGGGGAUCAAACAGGAUUAGAUACCCUGGUAGUCCACGCCGUAAACGAUGAGUGCUAAGUGUUAGGGGGUUUCCGCCCCUUAGUGCUGCAGCUAACGCAUUAAGCACUCCGCCUGGGGAGUACGACCGCAAGGUUGAAACUCAAAGGAAUUGACGGGGACCCGCACAAGCGGUGGAGCAUGUGGUUUAAUUCGAAGCAACGCGAAGAACCUUACCAAAUCUUGACAUCCUUUGACAACUCUAGAGAUAGAGCCUUCCCCUUCGGGGGACAAAGUGACAGGUGGUGCAUGGUUGUCGUCAGCUCGUGUCGUGAGAUGUUGGGUUAAGUCCCGCAACGAGCGCAACCCUUAAGCUUAGUUGCCAUCAUUAAGUUGGGCACUCUAAGUUGACUGCCGGUGACAAACCGGAGGAAGGUGGGGAUGACGUCAAAUCAUCAUGCCCCUUAUGAUUUGGGCUACACACGUGCUACAAUGGACAAUACAAAGGGCAGCGAAACCGCGAGGUCAAGCAAAUCCCAUAAAGUUGUUCUCAGUUCGGAUUGUAGUCUGCAACUCGACUACAUGAAGCUGGAAUCGCUAGUAAUCGUAGAUCAGCAUGCUACGGUGAAUACGUUCCCGGGUCUUGUACACACCGCCCGUCACACCACGAGAGUUUGUAACACCCGAAGCCGGUGGAGUAACCUUUUAGGAGCUAGCCGUCGAAGGUGGGACAAAUGAUUGGGGUGAAGUCGUAACAAGGUAGCCGUAUCGGAAGGUGCGGCUGGAUCACCUCCUUU